UACGAAGGGGGCUAGCGUUGUUCGGAAUUACUGGGCGUAAAGCGGGUGUAGGCGGAUCUUUAAGUCGGAGGUGAAAGCCCAGGGCUCAACCCUGGAACUGCCUUCGAUACUGGAGAUCUGGAGUGUGGGAGAGGUGAGUGGAAUUCCGAGUGGAGAGGUGAAAUUCGUAGAUAUUCGGAGGAACACCAGAGGCGAAGGCGGCUCACUGGACCACUACUGACGCUGAGACCCGAAAGCGUGGGGAGCAAACAGG
rnacentral:rRNA from 1 species